rnacentral:siRNA from 1 species
UUUUUGGAGAUUUUUGACAUGUGC